GCCGGCAGAUGCGCAGUCGCCGAAGACUUAAGAUCUUUGGAGGAACUUCCGGACUCCGCGGGAAUUACGCCUGCUGUAAAAGCAGGAUGGUUUAAGGGAAACCUUAAAUCAAUUGAUAGCGCAACAGAAAAUAUACCGCCCCGACGAUACGUCGGGGUAAGGGUGAAAAGGCGCGGUAAGAGCGCACCGCAUUGAUAGCGAUGUCAAUGCUGGCAAGCCACGUAAGGAGCAAGGACAAAUAUGCCUUAGGUCGCCCGCCCCGCUUCUCCCGAAGACGCUUCGGGAAGCAAGGCAGAGUAGUCCGCAUAGAUAAAUGAUUGCGAUAAUAGCAUUCGCUAUUAACAGAAUCCGGGGUAUAAUCUGCCGGCUUAU
rnacentral:RNase_P_RNA from 1 species